CAAACUAUUUUUUGGACCAACUCCAUUGGGCUUUUAAUUUUUGGCCCAACAGAAUUAUUUUCUUGGCCCAACUGAAUUAUUUCCUAAGCCCAGCCCAUAACAGCAACAGUUGACAGCAGCAGCAGAAGAAGCAGGACGCCAACUUCGACUUCUGCAUGGCGUCUUCAAUUUUGCAACUAAGUUUCUUCAAUGACUGCGCCCACCGGCCAACUCUUCAACCUUUACGGCUUCCAGCCGUCGGAGUAGAAUUCAAGGUAUUGAAUUCAUACUUACCACAUGUCUAUAAAUAGACUUGUGGAGAGCAUGCAGAAACAACGAACAACACCAACAAAUUUCUGCAUUCUGCCAUUUACAAUCACACUCUCUGCAAACACUUGUGCUCAGUUCUUGAUCCUAUUAAGUUCGCCGGAGCUCGCCGGAUUGUGGUGCUACAUCCGACGAGACGUAGUCGUUUUACCUUUGGGGAAGAUACGCCAAACCGAAGAGCACUACCGGGGCGAUAAUCUUCUUGCGGGAAGAUUAUUUCUCUGCCGUUGAUACACGUUCGAGAAAUGGCUCACACCGACGUCAAUAUGGACGGCUCCACCACCUCUGCAACCAUCGGUUCAACCACGUCGUCAAUGUUUCCUCGUUUGCAUCAAUGGGGGCUUCAACGUCAACCAUGGCCCCAUUGCAAACAUCUAGAACUAUUGGUCUUGCCGAGAAACCAUCAACGUUCUCGGGCAAGAAUUUCAAAUAUUGGCAAGAAAAGAUGCUAUUCUACCUCACAAUCGUGGGGUUUGCCGGAUUCUUGAUGGAGGAUAAACCUCCAACCCCGAGUGAAGGGAAGACGAGCCAAGAAAUUCGUGCCGGAUAUUUGAACUGGUGCCACGACGACUACUUGUGACGUAACACCGUUCUCAUGUCUCUGGACGAACGGCUCUACCGUGUUUUCAAGGUUCAUGAAACCGCAAAACAAUUGUGGGAGGCCCUUGAUCUAAAGUAUCAAGUGGACAAGGCGAAUACUACCAAGUAUGUCGUCGCCAAAUGGUUGGAAUAUAAAAAGAUCGACUCCCGGCCAUUGAUGGACCAAGUGGAAGAGUUCCAAAAUCUUUCACAUGAGGUUCAAGCCGAAGGGAUGCCCUUGGCGGAUGCAUUGCUCGUUGCAAUCAUCAUAGAGAAAUUACCUCCUAGUUGGAGGAAAUUUCAAAACCUUUUGAAGCAUGAGCGCUCGGAGAUGUCCGUGCCGAUAUUGAUAUCCAAGCUUCAAAUGGAGGAUCACGUGAGAAGCCGUGAUCAAAAGGGAAAAGCUCCGAUGGAGGCAAAGGCCAAUCUCACCGAGAAAGGCGGUCCCUCCAACAAACGUGGUCGCCCUAACCCUAAUAAUAAGGGUAAAGGGAAGCAAGGCGGUAGUCAACCAUCAAAGUUUGAUGGUGUAUGUUUUAAUUGUGACAAACAAGGUCACAUGGCUAAGGAUUGCCGCAAGCCAAAGCGGAAGAAGGCAAAGAGCAACGUGAACAACGUCGAGAAGGACUUCGACGAUUGGAACCACGAUGACUUUGCUGCCAUGAUCUCCGAGGUGAAUCAUGUGGACAACCCGAACGCUUGGUUCGUGGACACCGGCGCUACCGUCCAUAUAUGCAUAAAUCGUGAGUUGUUCCACAACUACAAAGAAGUGGAAAUAAAACGAUAAUGGAGGCUAGCGAGCGGACAUCCCAAGUCCUUGGCAUGGGAGAUGUGAUUCUUCAACUCACGUCGGGCGUGGAGAUCACAUUAAAAGACGUAUUACACGUUCCAACUGUCCGAAAGAAUUUAAUUUCGGGCUUUAGGCUUACGAAUAAGGAUUUUGAAUUGUUUUUCAAAUCUGACUAUGUUGUAAUACGCAAGUGGGGAAAGUUCCUAGGGAAAGGCUAUGCCUCCGAAGGACUUUUCAAACUUGGUGUAAGAGCUUGUAAGCCUGCCAAGGCUAAAAUCAAUAAAGAUGCAUCAACUUCUUCUGCUUACUUGAUUGAGUGUUCUGAUUUAUGGCAUUGUAGACUUGGACAUGUUAAUCUAAAUGCUAUAAAGAGAUUAGUAAAAAUGAAUUUACUAAAAGUUGAUGAAUACAACUCACAAGAAAAAUGUGAAGUUUGUGUUGAAGCCAAGAUGGCUAAGUUACCGUUUAAAUCGGUAAAAAGGAGCACCCAACCAUUGGAACUUAUUCACACCGAUGUUUGUGAUUUAAAGUUCGUGCAAACUAGAGGUGGCAAGAAGUACUUUAUCACCUUUAUAGACGAUUGCACAAAGUAUUGUUACCUUUACUUAUUGAAAAGUAAAGAUGAGGCUAUUGAAGCUUUUAGAAACUUCAAAAAUGAAGCCGAGAAUCAACUUGGAUGUCGAAUUAAGAUGGUUCGAAGUGAUAGAGGUGGAGAAUAUGUAGCUCCGUUUGCUGAAUUAUGCAACGAAAGUGGUAUAAUCCAUCAAACGACGGCUCCUUAUUCACCACAAUCUAACGGCGUUGCUGAACGCAAGAAUCGAACUCUUAAGGAGAUGAUGAAUGCCUUGUUGAUUAGUUCAGGAUUACCCCAGAACAUGUGGGGGGAAGCUGUCUUAACGGCCAACUAUAUCUUGAACAAGAUUCCACUCAAAGGGAAAGAUGUAACUCCCUAUGAGCUAUGGAAAGGAAGGAAACCUUCGUAUAAAUACCUCAAAGUGUGGGGGUGUUUAGCCAAGGUAGAAGUGCCUUUACCAAAGCAAGUUACAAUAGGACCUAAAACGGUGGAUUGUAUCUUCAUUGGUCAUGCACUUAAUAGCAGUGCCUAUCGUUUUAUAGUGCACAGAUCGGAGAUACCUGAUAUACAUGUUGGGCAACGAUAGAAUCAAGGAAUGCUAUAUUCUUUGAAAAUAUCUAUCCUAACAAGGAUAAAGGUACAUCGAACUCUAAUGAUGGAGUUGAUGGUGAUGCUACAGGUUCUAAACCUAUGGAAGUAGCUAGUAAUUCUACUCAAGUAGAUGAUGCCACGGGUUCUAAUCAUGUACCACCUAAUAGGAAAAGACCAAGGUCUAAACCUAUGGAUGUAGAACCGAGACGUGGGGAACGAGUUAAAAAAGCUAAUGUCUAUGGACCGGAUUAUGUUGUCUUGAUGCUAGAUGGCGAACCGGUGACGAUUAAAGAAGCUAUGUCUGGCUCAGAUGCAGCUCUCUGGAAAGAAGCCAUCGAUAUUGAGAUUGAUUCCAUUAUGCAGAAUCAUACUUGGGUGUUAGUGGAUCUACCACCUGGUGCUAAAGCUUUAGGAUGCAAAUGGAUCCUAAAGAAGAAGUACAAAUCUGAUGGUACUAUAGAUAAGUACAAAGCCCGACUUGUCGUUCAAGGUUUCAGGCAGAAAGAAGGGUACGAUUUCUUCGAUACCUAUUCACCUGUGACCAGACUAACAUCUAUUCGGAUGCUUCUCGCUAUUGCUGCCUUGCACAAUCUCGAGAUUCACCAAAUGGAUGUGAAAACUGCGUUCUUGUAUGGCGAGUUGGAAGAUGAAAUAUAUAUGAAGCAACCUGAAGGGUUUGUAGUACCUGGGCAAGAGCACAAAGUAUGCAAACUUCAAAGGUCUUUAUAUGGGUUGAAGCAAGCACCGCUUCAAUGGCAUUUAAAAUUUGACAGUGUAAUGUUGUCAAAUGGAUUCAGAAUCAAUGAGUGCGAUAAAUGUGUCUACAUUAAGAAUUCUAAUAACGGAUAUGUUAUUGUUUGUCUUUAUGUAGAUGACAUGCUCAUCAUGGGAAGUAAUUCCCGAGUGAUUCAAGAAACCAAAGGCAUGCUAAGUAAAAAUUUUAGCAUGAAAGAUAUGGGCUUAGCUGAUGUUAUCCUUGGAAUUAAAAUUCUAAGAAGACCUGAUGGUAUUACUAUAACACAAUCUCACUACGUUGAGAAAGUGUUAAAGAAAUUCAACGCUUUUGACAAGCCAAUAGCUAAGACACCAUGGGAACCUAGUGUGCAUUUGAGUGUACACAAGGGAGAACCUGUUGACGCGAUAGAAUAUGCGAAGAUUAUUGGGAGCUUGUUGUAUCUAACAAAUUGCACUCGUCCCGAUAUAGCAUGCUCGGUCAACAAGUUGGGCAGCUUUACAGCUAACCCUAGUAAUGAACAUUGGAAAGCUCUUGAAAGGGUUUUGAGAUAUUUGAAAUAUACUCAAAACUAUGCGAUUCAUUAUACUAGGGAACCCUCUGUACUUGAAGGGUACUGUGAUGCAAAUUGGAUAUCUGAUGCCAAAGACUCGUUUUCAACGAGCGGUUAUGUAUUCACUGUGGGGGGUGGUGCUGUGUCUUGGAAAUCCAAGAAGCAAACAUGUAUUGCUAGAUCGACCAUGGAAUCAGAAUUCAUAGCUUUGGAUAAAGCUGGUGAAGAAGCCGAGUGGCUUAAAAAUUUCCUCGAGGAUAUUCCAUGUUGGUCGAAACCUGUGUCGUCCGUGAUAAUUCAUUGUGAUAGUCAAGCUGCUAUCGGACGAGCACAAAAUCAUUUGUAUAACGGUAAGUCGAGACAUAUUCGUCGACGUCAUAAUACCGUGAGACAUCUGAUCACUAGUGGAGUUAUCACAAUUGAUUAUAUAAGAUCAAUUGAUAACAUAGCGGAUCCUUUGACAAAAAGUAUCCAUCGAGAUCAGAUGUAUAAACUGUUAGGGGGAAUGGGUUUGAAGUCCACAAAUUAAGGAUAAUCAUAGUGGCAACCCAACCAUGAUGACUGGAGGAUCCCAAGAACUUGGUUCAAUGGGACAACUAAGCUAUGAAAAUCCGUGUGUUGAACACUCGAAUUGCCUAUUCCUUGUAGAACAGUGAGUGUUCGGAAACCUGCACGUGGUGAGGUUAAGUCUUUGACUUUUAAUGACUCUAGAACUCCUCGAAGAGGACAAGUAUAGCAGGAUACUUGAGUUAAGAGUCACCUAUGUAAGUGUGAAGUGGGGCCGCUUCGAUUGAAACACUUAUGAAUCCAAAGAGGUGUUCCAAGGCUUGUAAUGGACACAAACGUGAGAACGAAUAAGGAUUGAAGCAAUAUUGUGUCAAUAUUGUUGACUUAGUAUACACCGAGGAGGACUAGUUCAAGGAACACAAUCCACUAGGCCGCCGGUAUACUCGAUAACAUUGACUCUGGCAGGUUCAAAGCCACAAGCUACCUUUCCAAAUGCAAUGUUGUAUCUUAAGAGGACUGAGCUAAGUGUUUGUAUACUUUCGCAUACUGAUUUCUCACUCAUGUGGGGGAUUGUUGGAAAUAUGGUUUUAAGCCAUAUCUGAAAAUUAUUAUUUAAUUAAAUAUUUAUUACUCCCUCCGUCCAUGAAAAAGAGUCCCAUUUGGGACUCGGCACGGGUUUUAAGAAAGUUGUUAAAGUAGGUGUAAGUGGAGAGAGAAGUAAAUUUAUAGGGGUAGUGUUAAUAACAAUUUUAAAUACUUAAUCCUUUAUUAAUAUCUAAACUUAAUUGCUUUAUGUUCCUGAAAUUAUAGAUCAAUGCACCGAAUUCAUUCAAAUUUAAGAAAAACAAAAAGCUAAUCAAGAGCAAUUUUAAUUUCCCAUUCAAAUUUCAGAUUUCAUUCCCAAAGAUUAGAGGCAAAUUUAACAGAAAUUCAGCAGCCAGCCACCACCAAAUUCAACAACAAAUUCAAACAAAUUCGAUUCCAACAAGAAAUGAAUAUCAACAAUAAAUUCAAACAAAUUCAACAAAUCAAUUCCACCAACAAAUUUAGGAAAUUAUAGCAACAAAUUCAACAAAUAGAUUCCACCAAUAAAUUCAGGAAAUUCCAGCAACAAAUUCGAACAAAUUCAAAAAGUCGAUUCCAGCAACAAAUUUAAGCAAAUCCUAACCAAAUCAAGAAGCGCUAGCUUCUUUCUCCUUCAAGCUACUCACGCAGGCAGGGCAUAGGAAGAGCCAGAGUUGCGGAAAAUGACGAGAGGUAGGGCGAGAGCGAGUUCCCGGAAUCAAGACCGGCCGGAGCACUGGCAGUGGACGGGAACUUGUCGGUGGUGGAGAUUGAGGAGAUGAAGGAGGGGAGCGCGUCGAUUGGGAGCGUCUUGGCGAUUUCGAGCUCAGACGAAGGCGAUGAAUUUUGGGAGGCGGCGCCUUAGGGUUUCGAGCUCAGGGGGAGCGACGCGGCGAAAUCAGUGAAGCGGCGACGACGAGCUAGCUGCUGCCGGAGAGGUGAAGGGAAGAUGGGCGUAGGUCGGGUCCUAGCCUCGCCGGAGGAGGAACCACGGCGGCGGGUUUGGUGAGAGAGAAGAGGUGAGAGUGAGAGACGAGACGUGUGUGAGAAAGGUGAGAGAAGAUGGACGUAAGAAGAGUGAGAGAGAAGAGACGUGCGAGAGAAAGAGUGAGAGAUUUUUAUUGCAAAUUGUAUUUAAUUUAAUUUAAGUUGAGAGAGUAUUUAAUUUUUGAGGUGGGUCCUCAAUGGCAAAUGAAGUAAAUACAUAAAGUUAUAAAGGGUGUAAUUGUAUAAAAAGUGAAAUAGGACUCUUUUUUGUGGACAAAAAAAAGAGGGGAAACAAGACUCUUUUUCGUGGACGGAGGGAGUAUUUAAUUAAAAUAAUUAUUGGAUGUUAAUCUACAUCUAGAGUAGAUCAACGUGAUAUACUUGAAGUCUCAAAACCGAUUUCCGAUGAGUGAGAUAUUGUAUAUCAAAGUUUGGAUGUUGAAGAGGGAAAAUAAAUGCUAUCCCACAUUGGAAAACAUAGAGAUGUUUUUCAUGUAUAAGAAUAGCAAAGCACAUGGAGUUGAUAAAUUGACUUGUGGGCUUGCUAGUGGGCUUGAUCUAAGUACUAGCCUCGCGCACACACACACGGACGACGACGUCGCCGCCGCCGGACGGGCGGGCGGGCGGGCGGGCCGCGGCCAAGGACUUGGAUCUUGGCAAUUGGUGCUUUGGGGUGGUGUUUGGGGCCCAAACUAUUAUUUUGGACCAACUCCACUGGGCUUUUAAUUUUGGCCCAACAGAAUUUAAUUCUUGGCCCAAAUGAUUGUUUUAUUCCCAAGCCCAGCCCACACAGCAACAGGUUGCAGCAGCAGCAGAAGAAGCAGUAGCAGAAGCACGCCAACUUCGACUUCUGCAUGGCAGCUUCAUCUUUUGACUGCGACCACCGGCCAUCUCUUCAUCUUCAACCUUUACGGCUUCCAGCCGUCGGAGUAGAAUUCAAG
rnacentral:lncRNA from 1 species